AUACUUGGGAUGUCCUUGUACUUGUGUUCGAUGAAAGAAAAAUUUUGGUGGAAGAAGAAGAGUAAUUUCAAGGUGUAGACCUCUAAUGCAUAUGUUUCAGUAUUUCAGCCAUAACUUUCGUUACAGAAUUCCAAAUAAAAUGAUCAAGGUCGCAGCUUUAGAGGAGGUAGGCCAUGGCCCACGCAGUCUGAUGAGGAAAUCUUUAUUGGAAUUAACUUCUUUCUUCACCCAACUUGGCCUAACUUCAAAGUCCUAUAAAAACAACCUUUCGGAUGACUUUUAGGAUAUAACGAAACAUCGGAUUGACAGCUAAGAUUCAAGUCGUGAAGUCAUUGAAGUUGAGAAGAAUUUGAAGGAUUCAAGAAGAUUUGGAGAUCAAGAUUACCAUUCUUGGUUUUUUCUAUCUCUUGUUAU